rnacentral:misc_RNA from 1 species
UCCGAGUUGACCCCGGCAGUCUCCUAUGAGUCCCCGCCAUUACGCGCUGGCAACAUAGGACGAGGGUUGCGCUCGUUGCGGGACUUAACCCAACAUCUCACGACACGAGCUGACGACAACCAUGCACCACCUGUGUACGACCCUUGCGGACCUGACGUCUCUGCCAGAUUUCCGUACAUGUCAAACCCAGGUAAGGUUCUUCGCGUUGCAUCGAAUUAAGCCACAUGCUCCGCCGCUUGUGCGGGCCCCCGUCAAUUCCUUUGAGUUUUAGCCUUGCGGCCGUACUCCCCAGGCGGGGCGCUUAAUGCGUUAGCUGCGGCACAGAGGACGUGGAAGGUCCCCUACACCUAGCGCCCAACGUUUACGGCGUGGACUAC